UACUAGCAUGUGCCAUUUGUAGCAACAACAAAAGAAAGUGCAGAUAGACAGAGAAAGGCAUCACAAUCAUCAUUUUCAUUGUUUAUUGUCCCAUUUUCUACACCACUGAGAUAUCUGAAUACAGUAAUUAAGCAGUAUAUAAAUGACUUUUAUAUGCCUGUUGUCUUUGUCCAUGGAGUUUUCUUGGCAGGGAUACUAGAGUGGCUUGCCAGUUCCUGCUCCAAGGUGGAUCACGUUUGGUCAAAACUCUCCACUAUGACCUGUUCUUCUUGGGUGGCCCUGCACGGCAUAGCUCAUAGCUUCUCUGAGUUGUUCAAGCCCCUUCACCACGGCAAGGCAGUGAUCCAUGAAGGAGUUCCAUGAAGAUCAAACCUCUCCAUUCUGAAGGAAAUCAGCCCUGAGUGCUCACUGGAAGGACAAAUCCUGAAGCUGAGGCUCCAAUACUUUGGCCACCUCAUGAGAAGAGAAGACUCCCUGGAAAAGACCCUGAUGUUGGGAAAGAUGGAGGGCACAAGGAGAAGGGGACGACAGAGGACGAGAUGGUUGGACAGUGUUCUCGAAGUAGCCAACAUGAGUUUGACCAAACUGCAGGAGGCAGCGGAAGACAGGAGUGCCUGGCGUGCUCUGGUACAAGGGGUUGCGAAGAGUCGGACACGACUAAACGACUAAACAACAGCAACAUAAAUGACUUAAAUAAUUAAGUAAGAUCUUCAUCAAUAAUAAUAAGGAAUUAUAUCCAGUGCUAGUCCUACUCAGAUUAGGUCCAUUGAAAAUAUCAGAUAUAACUAUUAGAGUCAUUAAUUUCAGUGGGUGUACUCUGAGUAGGACUUAGUUGGAGACAACCCUAAGUUUCUAACAUUCCCUUUCCACCCAAGGCAGGAAACAGCAAAGUAGCAAUUAAGAAAUGGAAUAACCAAAAAGUUUCAAGUCUGUGAGCAUUCAGAAAAGGAUGCUGUGAUUGCUAAGACCCAGCAUGUGUUUUUUCAAAAAUAAGUCAUGCCAGACUAAUCACAUUUCUUCUUUUUUUUAUGGCAUUACAAACUUGGUGGAUCAGGAGAAUGCUGUGGACAUAGCGUAUAUUGAUUUCAGUAAGGCUUUUGAGAAAGUACCCCAUGAAAUUCUCACAAGGAAGCAGGUAAAAUGUAGGCUGGAUGAGGUAACUGUUAGGUGGAUUUGUAGCUGGUUGACUGAUCGAACCUAAAGAGUACUUAUUAAUGGUUCCUCGUCAUGCGGGGGGAAAGUGACACGUGGGGUGCUGCAGGGUUCUGUCCUGGGCCCACUGUUGUUUAAUGUCUUUAUAAAUGACUUUGAUAUAGGAAUUGAGGGAAUGCUCAUCAAAUUUGCAGAUGACACCAAACUGGGAGGGGUAGCUAAUGCCACUGUUCCCAGGAGUCCAGGUUCCCAGCUUGAUAACACAGUACUCAUACGUAAUUUAAAAAUAGGAUUUUUGCAAAAACAAGCAAUUAGCUCCGGACGGCUCUAGCCAAGCCUCUGGUAUCAGCACUCAGUUGACUCUUCUAAAGAAUCCUUCCUCUUCCAGAAGAAUAAACGGAACCUAUGACCCUUGUGUUUCUUAUUCUGUUUCCUGUCAUACACCCUCCCCCAGCAAUGACUUCGUGGUCUCAUUGGAUCCCCUCCAACUUCUUCCUGAGAAGACAGACUGUCAAUCUUCUCUUCCACGCCUGUUUGUGUCUCUUGCGAGCUGUGGCUGACUUCGAGCCAGAUAUAUGGAGAAACGUGACUCAAAGAAGUAGGAGGCCCAGGGUUCGCUCUGAUUGUUUAGAAAUACACAAUCGCUUUGAGGUCCUCUCCCCUAGCAUGGAAGAUGAAGAGCAGACUCCAGUUGAGGAUCUCUCCCCCAUUACAGUCGAUCAGGUAUAUGAAGACGAGCAGCAAAGUCAGUCCUCAGGGAAUGUGCAGGCGACCUUGGAACGGACAGCUCACGGAAGAACCCCGAUCAAACCUAAGAGGAGGCAUGUAGUGGUGAUAGGGGAUUCCCUACUGAGGGGAACAGAAGCAGUGAUCUGUGGGCCUGACAAGAUGUCUCGGGAAGUGUGCUGUCUCCCCGGGGCUAAGAUACAAGAUGUAACUGAACGACUGCAAGGAAUCAUAAAACCCACUGACAAAUACCCCUUCCUCUUGGUUCAUGUGGGAACCAAUGACACUGCAAGCAAUAGCCUCCAGAAGAUCAAAAGAGACUACGAGGCUCCGGGCAGGAAAUUGAAGCAAUUAAAUGCACAAAUUGUCAUCUCAUCUGUCCUCCCAGUUGAAUGAGGUGGCCCAGGGAGAGAGGGAAAAAUAGUGGCAGUGAACAGCUGGCUUCGCAAAUGGUGUAAACAGGAACGGUUUGGAUUCUUAGAUCACGGACUGCAGUUUCUUGAAGAUGGACUUCUGGCAAGCGAUGGGCUGCACCUCACAACGGUUGGGAGGAAUGUUUUUGCCAAAAAUCUCAGAAGCCUCAUCAGGAGGGCUUUAAACUGACUAAUGUGGGGGAGGGAGACAGUGCUCCUGAAGGUAGGAGUCUAUCAAUUGAUGAAGAUGAUCAUCCAAAUGUCAUAGACCAAAUGGAGCAAACAGCACACAGACCUAGUGGUGGGAGGAAAAAAUCCUUAAAUAAGAGACACUGGGGAAUGAUUAAUGGACUUCAAUGUCUGUACACUAAUGUGCAAAGCAUGGGAAAUAAACAAGAUGAGCUUGAGCUCUUGGUACAGCAAACUAAAUAUGACAUAAUAGGCAUCAAUGAAACCUGGUGGGAUAAGUCCCACGAUCGGAAUGUAAUAAUGGAGGGAUACAAUCUAUUUCAGAGAAACAGACCAGACAAGAAAUGAGGAGGAGUGGCGUUAUAUGUCAGGGAUGUGUAUACCUGUGAGGAGAUCCAAGAUUUAGAACCUCAAAGCCAAAGUGAGAGCAUUUGGGUCAAAAUUAAGGGAGAGAAGAAUAACAGUGACCUCAUUGUGGGAGUUUACUAUAGAUCCCCAAGCCAAACGGAGGACAUAGAUGAUGCCUUCCUAGAACAGAUGGCGAAGCAUGCAAAAGGAAGGGAGAUAGUAGUAAUGGGGGACUUCAACUACCCGGAUAUUUGUUGGAUGUCAAACUCAGCCAAGAGCAUAAGGUCAAACAGAUUCCUCACUGGCCUUGCAGACAACUUCAUUGUCCAGAAAGUGGGAUAAACAACAAGAGGAACAGCCAUUUUAGAUCUGGUCCUAACCAAUGUUGAUGACCUGGUUAGUGGGGUAGAAGUGGAAGGAUCAUUAGGCGCGAGUGAUCAUGCUCUUCUGAAGUUUACUAUACAGCGGAAAGGAGCAGCCAAGCAUACUAGGGCUCAAUUUCUAGACUUUAAGAAAGCUGACUUCAUUAAACUUAGGGAAGUGCUGGGUGAGAUCCCAUGGACAGUAAUACUAAAAGGAAAGGGAGUUCAUGAUGGCUGGGAGUUUGUUAAGAGGGAGAUAGUAAAAGCACAACUUCAGGCAAUACCAAUGAGACGGAAACAUGGAAGGUGCCUAAAGAAGCCAGGGUGGCUAUCUAAAGAACUUUUAACUGAGUUAAGAUUAAAAAAGCAUGUGUAC